GAAAUGCGAUAAGUAAUGUGAAUUGCAGAAUUCAGUGAAUCAUCGAAUCUUUGAACGCACAUUGCGCCCCUUGGUAUUCCGGGGGGCAUGCCUGUUCGAGCGUCAUUUCACCACUCAAGCCUGGCUUGGUAUUGGGCGAGGCGGCUUUACGGCCGCCCGCCUCAAAGUCUUCGGCUGGACCGACCGUCUCUAAGCGUUGUGACUUUGUUGAAUCGCUUGCGAGUAUGGGACGUCCUCGGCCGUUAAACCCAUUAUAAAAGGUUGACCUCGGAUCAGGUAGGGAUACCCGCUGAACUUAA
rnacentral:misc_RNA from 1 species